UGAAAAUGCCCUUUAAACCAUUUUUGGUAUCAAGGAGCUGGUAUCAAGCACACCACACAGUAGCUCAUAACACCUUGCACAGCCACACCCCCACGGGAAACAGCAGUAACAAAAAUUAAGCAAUAAACGAAAGUUCGACUAAGUUAUGCUAAUCAGGGCUGGUCAACUUCGUGCCAGCCACCGCGGUCAUACGAACAGCCCAAAUUAAUAGAACUCGGCGUAAAGAGUGGUUAUGACAUUAAUACACUAAAGUUAAAUUUAACCUCAGCUGUAAAAAGCUAAAGGUCUAAAAUUAAAUACCCUACGAAAGUGACUUUAACAAAUCAGAAUCCACGAUAGCUAAGAUACAAACUGGGAUUAGAUACCCCACUAUGCCUAGCCUUAAACCUAAUUAAUUAGUAACAAAAUUACUCGCCAGAGAACUACGAGCAAAAGCUUAAAACUCAAAGGACUUGGCGGUGCUUUAUAUCCACCUAGAGGAGCCUGUUGUAUAAUCGAUAAACCCCGCUAAACCCUACCAUCAUUUGCUAAUCCAGUCUAUAUACCGCCAUCUUCAGCAAACCCUUAAAAGGAGUCAAAGUAAGCUUAAUUAUACUUAAUAAAAACGUUAGGUCAAGGUGUAACUUAUAUGAUGGAAACUAAUGGGCUACAUUCUCUUUUAAAGAGCA
rnacentral:rRNA from 1 species